GGGAGAAUGACAGAGUGGUCUAUUGUGAUUGUUUUGAAAACAAUUGUACAUUUUGUACCGUGGGUUCGAAUCCUACUUCUCCUU
rnacentral:tRNA from 1 species